rnacentral:tRNA from 1 species
GCGCCCAUAGCUUAAUUUGGAUAGAGCAUUUGACUACGAAUCAAAAGGUUGGAGGUUCAAUUCCUCCUGGGCGCG